rnacentral:misc_RNA from 1 species
GAUGAAGAACGUAGCGAAAUGCGAUAAGUAAUGUGAAUUGCAGAAUUCAGUGAAUCAUCGAAUCUUUGAACGCAUCUUGCGCUCCUUGGUAUUGUGAGGAGCAUGCCUGUUUGAGUGUCAUUAAAUUCUCAACUACACUGACUUUGAAUUGGUGUGGCUUGGAUUUGGGUGGGAAAAUUGUUGUGGGCUUUUUGUAUAGUCUGCUCCCCUGAAAUUGAUUAGCGGUACCUUUGUGGAACUGUCUACAGGUGUGAUAAUUAUCUACAUCCUAGACAUCUGCUGGAAUGCUGCUUUCUAAACCUUACUUGUAUUGACAAUCUUGACCUCAAAUCAGGUAGGACUACCCGCUGAACUUAAGCAUAUCAAUAAGCGGAGGA